ensembl:lncRNA
CCCUCCCCGUCCCAGUCACAGGAAGGGCCCUUUCCUUGCUGCUCUCUCACCAUGAUCUGAGAUCCACUCACUUUUUUUUCCCUCCCCAGGCUUACGGAAGGAGAGAAAUCCACAUCAGCAGAUAGCCUGGACGAGUCCCAUGAAUCAGUCACACCUCUCCGGCAAUUUCAAUCAUUUGAAUAAUGAUAUUCAUAUUCAUGGCACAUAAGACCCUUCCAUCAGCUGAGAAUUGUCACUAAGACUCCUAUGGAAUGCCAAUAAGGACAUCGAGAUCUUUUGAUGAUGCUGUGGCUUGGAAGGUGCUGCAGCAGAUGAACCACGGGGUCCCAGGUCAGCAGAAGGUAUUGAGGGCUCCUGUGUACCAGGUACGGUUCUUGUUGCUGGAGGUGUUCACAGAGCUUCCUGGCAUCUACUAUCUUGCAGAAGACACAGAAGAUAAAACUUCUAUCAAAAGGUAAUUACAAUCAUGUUAGGGAAUGGUAAAAUACAGAAAAAAAAAAAGGGCAGGAAAGGGCCAUAUAGAAAGUCAAGGGGUGUUCUUUUAACAUGGUGGUCAAGAAAGGCCUCUCUGAGAAAGUAACAUUUAAGCACAAAAUAGAAUGAAAUGAGGGAGAAAGCCAUGGCUAUACCUGGAGGAGGAUGGUUCUAGGCAGAAGGAAGUGCAAAGCCCCUGGGGCAGGAAUGUGCUCAGCCUCCUGCAGGAACGGCAGGGCGCCCAGGGUGGCUGGAGAGCAGUUGCCCAGGGAAGCGUGGUGGGUGAGUAGAAGAGAGGUCCCGGGGGCUGGGUUAUAGCUGGAGUGUACUGAGACGCAUUGGUGGUCUCCUGUGUGUCUGCCUUGUCUCUCUGUUGAAACGGAAAACCCCAUGGCUCAGUGGAGCAGUGCAGUUGUGACUUUGGUCUCGCGUGUCAGACAGAUCUGGCUGUUAGCCAGGCUCACAACGCAACACCACCUUGGAAAUGUCUCUGAAUCUCUCUCAGCCUCGCUUGCCUCCUCUAGAAAAAGGAGAUCAUCGCAGUGCCCAUGCCUAUCUUAUUGAAUGUUUAUGAGGAUUGAAUGAAAUAAUUUGGCAAAGGCAUCCAGCAUUAAGUCCUCCGUAUGUGUCAGCUGUUAUAAGUGAGGGCAGCAGACCUCUGCAGUUUUCACUGAUCAAUCAGCCGAUCCGUAUUAAGCCCUUAGCACAGGCAAGACUUGUGGUGGACCAUCCCGUACUUCCUAGCAUUGUGAUGCCACAUAACCCGUCUCCUAGUGAAUUUUUGUAGACUUACCUUUCAGCAAUCACUUUCUAACCCAGCACUCGGCAGCCUGACAACUCUAUUCAGAACCUAAGAACUCUAAGGAACACAAAAUAUGUCUUUGAAUUCCCAAAACACCUGUCAGAAGGAUUAGGCCCUAAAACGAUAAACUUGAAUCAUGGAGAGCUCUCCAUUUCUAACUUGCCUUUAAACCCAAUCUCAUGCUCAGAGAGUGGGGUUUCUCAGGUUACAGAGUUGGAAGGGUCAGUGGCCAAAGGCCAACACGUUUAAUGGAUAGAAAGCAAUAGUGGGGUUCCCGUUGUGGUUCAGCGGGUUAAGAACCUAACAUAAUGUCCAUGAGGAUGUGGGUUCGAUCCCUGACCUCAAUUAGUGGGUCAAGGAUCCAGCGUUGCCACAGGCUGCAGUGUAGGUUGCAGAUGAGGCUGGGAUCUGGCGUUGCUGUGGCUCUGGCAUAGGCCGGCAGCUGCAGCUCUGAUUCAGCCCCUUUCCCAUGAACCUCCAUAUGCCACAGGUGCAGCUCUACAAAGAAAAAAAGAAAAAAGAAAGCCAUGGUGCAAGAGAAGAUAAAACUACGAAAAGCAGGGAGGUGAACUCAAAAAAGGAAGACAGGAAUCUAUUCACUCCUUCAUUCACCUAUUAAAUAAUUCAUUCACUCAACAAAUAUUUAAGUGACUUUUGUAGGCUAAGCCCUAUUGUUGACAGCUGAGUACACAAAUGUCAAGCAGCUCAUCCUUGCCCUCACAGAGCUUGCAGGUGUGGUGGGAGGACCAGCAAGGAAAUAAUUUCAACUGUGCGUGAGGCGAUGGACAAGGGUGAGCACAGGACACUAGAGGGCGCUAGAGGAGCGUGGAUCAGUGUUUACCUGACCUCAUUUCCCGGAGAAAAUGGGCCAUUUAGUAUCAGGGCGCCAGGGCCAUGGUUCAUCCAGUGACUCAGUAAGAAUCGCCACACUGCAGUAAUGGACACUCAAAAAUCACGAUAUUCGUUAUUCGUUGCCCAAGAUAAGGAUAGUCAGUGUUCUGUGUGUUAUGUUUGAUAAAGCAGGGAAGAACAUGAAGAUUUCCAUUCAAAUUAUUUCAGUGCAAUUUUCCGUUCUAAAAUCGAUAGGCUAUCUGGAAAUUUUUGCUUAGUUGGAAUCUUGCCCUUUGUGGCACUAACAUUUAUUUCCUAGUGAUAUUAGAUCUAUGAUGAAUUGUUGUUAGGCUAUAGUUUUCAGGCAUAUAGCAUAUUUUGCCUUGUAUAUAAAGUAUCUUUAAAAAAAUAUAUAUAUAUAUAUAUACCAGGUUAUAGGGAAAAGGUUUAGGAAGACAUAUCCUUAGCUAUGGGAGUCUCAUGAAAGCCUGGCACUAUUUUUUUUUCCAUUUUUUAAACUGUGGUAAAAGGAUAAAUAAUGUGUAAUUCAAUAUUUUAAAACAUCAAAGUCAAUGCAGAAAAAUCCACAGUGAAUGAAAUAACAGUUUUAAACACAGGAAGGCAGGAGUUCUCUGGUGGAACACAGGUUAAGAAUCUGGUAUUGUCAUUUGCUG